CUCAGGAUCAGCCUCAUGAAAAUCUUAUAUUCCCAGAGGAGGUUCUACCACGUGGAAACGCUCUUUAAUGGAACUUUCGUUUUAGCUGGUCGUGACCAAGAAACCACCGGCUUUGCUUGGUGGGCUGGGAAUGCCAGACUUAUCAAUUUGUCCGGUAAACUGCUUGGAGCUCCUGUAGCCCAUGCCGGAUUAAUCGUAUUCUGGGCCGGAGCAAUGAACCUAUUUGAAGUGGCCCAUUUCGUACCAGAAAAGCCCAUGUAUGAACAAGGGUUGAUUUUACUUCCACAGUUAGCUACUCUAGGUUGGGGAGUAGGGCCAGGGGCGAAGUUCUAGAUACUUUUCCGUACUUUGUAUCUGGCGUACUUCACCUAAUUUCCUCCGCAUUCUUAGGCUUCGGUGGCAUUUAUCACGCGCUUCUGGGACCCGAGACUCUUGAGGAAUCUUUUCCAUUCUUUGGUUAUGUCUGGAAAGAUAGAAAUAAAAUGACUACAAUUUUGGGUAUUCACUUAAUUUUGUUAGGUCUAGGUGCUUUUCUUCUAGUACUCAAGGCUCUUUAUUUUGGCGGUGUAUAUGAUACAUGGGCCCCUGGGGGGGAGAUGUAAGAAAAAUUACCAAUUUUACCCUUAGCCCCAGUGUUAUAUUUGGUUAUUUACUAAAAUCUCCUUUUGGUGGAGAAGGGUGGAUUGUUAGUGUAGAUGAUUUAGAAGAUAUAAUUGGUGGGCAUGUAUGGUUGGGUUUUAUUUGUGUAUUUGGUGGAAUUUGGCAUAUUUUAACCAAACCCUUCGCAUGGGCUCGCCGUGCAUUUGUAUGGUCUGGAGAAGCUUACUUGUCUUAUAGUUUAGCUGCUUUAUCUGUCUUUGGUUUUAUCGCUUGUUGUUUUGUAUGGUUCAAUAAUACAGCUUAUCCGAGUGAGUUUUAUGGACCCACCGGGCCAGAAGCUUCUCAAGCUCAAGCAUUUACUUUUCUAGUUAGAGACCAGCGUCUUGGAGCUAAUGUGGGAUCCGCUCAAGGCCCCACAGGUUUAGGUAAAUAUCUAAUGCGUUCCCCAACUGGGGAGGUUAUCUUUGGAGGGGAAACUAUGCGUUUUUGGGACCUUCGUGCUCCAUGGUUAGAACCUCUAAGGGCCCCCAACGGUUUGGACUUGAGUAGGUUGAAAAAAGACAUACAACCUUGGCAAGAACGACGCUCAGCAGAAUAUAUGACCCACGCUCCUUUAGGCUCUUUAAAUUCCGUGGGUGGCGUAGCUACCGAGAUCAAUGCAGUUAAUUAUGUCUCUCCUAGAAGUUGGUUAUCAACUUCUCAUUUUGUUCUAGGAUUCUUCUUUUUUGUGGGCCAUUUAUGGCAUGCAGGAAGAGCCCGAGCUGCUGCAGCAGGUUUUGAAAAGGGAAUCGAUCGUGAUUUGGAACCUGUUCUUUACAUGAACCCUCUUAACUAAGAUUUUCUUAUUUAUACAUGUUCUACUUUUUUUUCUGUUCUGGCUCGGUUAUUCCAUCUAGCCGAGCCAUUCAUUCCUUUUUAUGAAAGGAAGAUAAGGGACAGAAAAAAAUGAAAGAAACAAACGUAUUCAAUAAGCAAAAGGAGAGAGAGGGAUUCGAACCCUCGAUAGUUCCUAGAACUAUACCGGUUUUCAAGACCGGAGCUAUCAACCACUCAGCCAUCUCUCCACAGCCUAAUC